GCUAGCGUUGUUCGGAAUUACUGGGCGUAAAGCGCGCGCAGGCGGCUAUCCAAGUCCGUGGUGAAAGCCCGGAGCUUAACUCCGGAACUGCCAUUGAAACUGUUUAGCUUGAGUAUGAGAGAGGUGAGUGGAAUUCCCAGUGUAGAGGUGAAAUUCGUAGAUAUUGGGAAGAACACCGGUGGCGAAGGCGGCUCACUGGCUCAUUACUGACGCUCAGGCGCGACAGCGUGGGGAUCAAACAGG
rnacentral:rRNA from 1 species